UACGUAGGGUGCAAGCGUUAAUCGGAAUUACUGGGCGUAAAGCGUGCGCAGGCGGUUAUGUAAGACAGAUGUGAAAUGCCCGGCUUAACCUGGGAACUGCAUUUGUGACUGCAUGGCUAGAGUUUGGCAGAGGGGGGUAGAAUUCCACGUGUAGCAGUGAAAUGCGUAGAUAUGUGGAGGAACACCGAUGGCGAAGGCAGCCCCCUGGGUCAAGACUGACGCUCAUGCACGAAAGCGUGGGGAGCAAACGAGGAU
rnacentral:rRNA from 1 species